rnacentral:rRNA from 1 species
AGCGAACGCUGGCGGCAGGCCUAACACAUGCAAGUCGAACGAACCUUUCGGGGUUAGUGGCGGACGGGUGAGUAACACGUGGGAACGUGCCUUUAGGUUCGGAAUAACUCAGGGAAACUUGUGCUAAUACCGAAUGUGCCCUUCGGGGGAAAGAUUAAUCGCCUUUAGAGCGGCCCGCGUCUGAUUAGCUAGUUGGUUGAGGUAAUGGCUCACCAAGGCGACGAUCAGUAGCUGGUCUGAGAGGAUGAUCAGCCACAUUGGGACUGAGACACGGCCCAAACUCCUACGGGAGGCAGCAGUGGGGAAUCUUGCGCAAGGGGCGAAAGCCUGACGCAGCCAUGCCGCGUGAAUGAUGAAGGUCCUAGGAUUGUAAAAUUCUUUCACCGGGGACGAUAAUGACGGUACCCGGAGAAGAAGCCCCGGCUAACUUCGUG